rnacentral:rRNA from 1 species
AUACGGAGGAUCCGAGCGUUAUCCGGAUUUAUUGGGUUUAAAGGGUGCGCAGGCGGCCAUUUAAGUCAGCGGUUAAAUCGUGGGGCUCAACCCCAUUCUGCCGUUGAUACUGGGUGGUUUGAUUGCGGUCGAGGUUGGCGGAAUUCGUUGUGUAGCGGUGAAAUGCAUAGAUAUGACGAAGAACACCGAUUGCGUAGGCAGCUGACCAGACCGCAAAUGACGCUCAUGCACGAAAGUGCGGGGAUCGAACAGGAUUAGAUACCCUGGUAGUCCGCACAGUAAACGAUGAAUACUUGUUUUCGGCGAUAUAAUGUCGGAGGCAAAGCGAAAGCGAUAAGUAUUCCACCUGGGGAGUACGCCGGCAACGGUGAAACUCAAAGGAAUUGACGGGG